rnacentral:rRNA from 1 species
GAUAAACGCUGGCGGCGUGCAUAACACAUGCAAGUCGAACGAAGUGGCGAACGGGUGAGUAACACGUGAGUAACCUGCCUUACACAAGGGGAUAGCCUCUGGAAACGGAGAAUAAUACCCUAUAGUGUAAGAUGGACUUGAGUCUGAUUAGCAAUUUGGUGAGUUAAAAGCUCACCAAGGCGACGAUCAGUAGCCGGCUUGGGAGAGUGUACAGCCACAUUGGGACUGAGACACGGCCCAAACUCCUACGGGAGGCCGCAGUGGGGAAUUUUGCACAAUGGACGAAAGUCUGACGGAGCAACGCCGCGUGAGUGAUGACGGCCUUCGGGUUGUAAAGCUCUGUUAAUCGGGACGCGGUACCGGAAUAGAAAGCCACGGCUAACUACGUGCCAGCAGCCGCGGUAAUAC